AGAAUCAACGCUGGCGGCGUGCCUAACACAUGCAAGUCGAACGCGAAAGGGGCUUCGGCCCUGAGUAGAGUGGCGAACGGGUGAGUAACACGUGGUGAUCUACCUCUGAGUGGGGAUAACGUUCCGAAAGGACGCUAAUACCGCAUGAUGUUCUGGGUUUGAAGACCUGGAAACCAAAGUCGGGACCGCAAGGCCUGACGCUUGGAGAGGAGCCCGCGCCUGAUUAGCUAGUUGGUGAGGUAACGGCUCACCAAGGCAACGAUCAGUA
rnacentral:rRNA from 1 species